rnacentral:lncRNA from 10 species
UUAUCAAAUGUAGCAAAUAUUUGCCAUGUCUGCUUUGGGUUACUUUUUUUGGGAAGCCUUAGGCCGAUUUUUGGCAACAGGGAUUGAAAACAUUUUACCACUUCCCUUACUGAAAAGGCCUUGUUGCCUGGGUGGGUGCCCAAGUCGUUGGUCUCACAGCUGAGGAAAUCGACGAUGCAGACACACCAAGGACGAGGUCAGAGCAGAAGCAGAAGUUUAACAGGUGAAAGAAAGAGAACAGUUCUCUGCUGCAGAGAGGGGUCCCAGAAAGGGUUGCCGUCCCACAGUAAAAUGAAAGGGUUUUUUUCAUGCGCGUCCGUGUGAAGAGACACCAAACAGGCUUUGUGUGAGCAACAUGGCUGUUUAUUUCACCUGGGGGCAGGCGGGCUGAGUCCGAAAAGAGAGUCAGCGAAGGGAGAUAGGGGUGGGGCCGUUUUAUAGGAUUUGGGAAGGUAAUGGAAAAUUACAGUCAAAGGGGGUUGUUCUCUGGUGGGCAGGGGCGGGGGUCACAAGGUGCUCAGUGGGGGAGCUUCUGAGCCAGGAGAAGGAAAUUCACAGGGUUAAUCACUCAGUUAAGGUGGGGCAAGAACAAAUCACCAUGGUGGAAUGUCAUCAGUUAAGGCGGGGCAGGGCCUUUUCAGUUCUUUUGUGAUUCUUCAGUUACUUCAGGCCAUCUGGGCGUAUACGUGCAAGUCACAGGGGAUGCGAUGGCUUGGCUUGGGCUCAGAGGCCUGACAUUCCUGCCUUCUUAUAUUAAUAAGAAAAAUAAAACAAAAUUGUGUUGAAGUGUUGGGGCGGUGAAAAUUUUUGGGGGGUGGUAUGGAGAGAGAAUGGGCGAUGUUUCUCAGGGCUGCUUCAAGCGGGAUUAGGGGCGGCGUGGGAACCUAGAGUGGGAGAGAUUAAGCUGAAGGGAGGUCUUGUGGUAAGGGGUGACAUUGAGGGGGUUGUUAGAAGAAACAUUUGUCAUACAGAAAGAUUGGUGAUGGCCUGGAUACGGUUUUGUAUGAACUGAAAAACUAAAUGGAAUAAGAGAAGGAGAAAAACAGGUAUAAAAGGACUAAGAAUUGGGAGGAUCUAGGACAUCUAAUUAGAGAAUGCCUAAGGAGGUUCAGCAUAGUCCUUCCAGCGAAGAUUAUUUAUUUACUUCAAGAGUUAAGAGUGGCAGUUUGGGGAUAGCAUGAGGAGAUAUCAGCCAUGAUGGCUUGGAGAAACAGUGUAAACUGGCAGUGUAAACAAGAGCAGGGCAUGUAUGAGUAGUUGAGAACGGAGAAUAGGAGUAUGACUAGACGGAAAAUAGUAGGGAUGACAAGUUUUUUUGGGGGCACAGUCUAAGUUGGUCUGGUGUCUGGGAUGAGACUGGGGCCUAAUAAAAAGGAGCUUAAAUGGACUGUACCUUGUAGCAUUCUGAGGACAGGUCUGACUUCUGAGAAGGGAAAGUGGUAAAAGUAUUGUCCAGUUCUUUUUAAGUUGGUGGCUGAGCUUGGUGAGGUGUGUUUUUAAAAGACCUUUAGUCCGUUCUACUUUUCUUGAAGACAGAGGACUAUAAGGGAUAUAAACUGAAAAACUGCUUGGCUAAUUUGACUAAUAAAGCCUGGUCUGUUAUCAGACUGUAUAGAGGUGGGAAGGCUAAACUGAGGAAUUAUGUCUGACAGAAGGGAAGAAAUGACUGCGGUGGCCUUCUCAGACCCUGUAGGAAAGGCCUCUACCUAUCUAGUGAAAAUGUCUACUUAGACUAAGAGGUAUUUUAGUUUUUGUGACUCGGGGCAUGUGGAGUAAAGCUAAUUUGCCAGUCCUGGGCGGGGGCAAAUCCUCGAGCUUGAUGUGUAGGGAAGGGAGGGGCCUGAAUGAUCCUUGAGGAGUAGCAGAAUAGCAGAUAGAAUAGCAGAUGGAACACUGAGAAGUUAUUUCCUUGAGGAUAGAUUUCUACAAUGGAAAGGAAAUGAGAGGUUCUAAGAGAUGGGCUAGUGGCUUGUAAUAUGGGGAAAUGGGGUGAAUGUCAGGUGGAUCAGAGAGAUGCAGUCAUGGGGAUCAGGUGUGGUAUCAGGAAUAAUGUGGGAGGCCAGAUUGAAGUCUGGGCCAGGAACAAUGGUAAUUGUGGGACUUAACAAAGAAUGAGUACAGCUGAAGGAGCCGGGGAGCAGAAAGUAUAUGCGUCAGGUAUGAGGAAGAAAAUAGAUUUUGGAAGUUAUGAGAAAUGUAGAGAGUGAGUUGAACAUAGUUUGUGAUUUUUAGGGCCUCUAAAAUUAUUAAAGCAGCGGCAGCUGCUGCAUGCAGACAUGAGGGCUAGGCUAAAACAGUAAGGUCAAGUUGUUUGGACAGAAAGGCUACAGGGUGGGGUCCUGGCUCUUGUGUAAGAAUUCUGACCGCACUAACCAUGCCUAGGAAGGAAAGGAGUUGUUGUUUUGUAAGGGAUUGAGGUUUGGGAGAUUAAUCAGACACCAUCAGCAGGGAGAGCACCUGUGUUUUUGUGAAGAAUUAUGCCGAGGUAGGUAACGGAUGGAGAAGAAAUUUGAGCUUUGGAGGGGGAUACCCGAUAUCCUUUGGAGAAUAAAUGCUGAAGGAGCAGAAGUAUGUCUUGUUGAGAAGAUUCAAAGGAGGGGCUACAAAGAAGAAGGUCAUCAAUAUAUUGAAUAAGGUGAGAAGUGGAGGGGUGGAAAGAAAGUAGAUCAUGAGAAAGAGCUUGGCUGAAGUAAUGAGGGCUGUCCCUGGAACCUUGCGGCAGCACAGCCCAGAAGACGAUGAUUCCAGAUGGAAAAAAUGGAAAUGUAAGAGGGAAUUAACAACACUGGAAUUAGUAAACCCAUGGGCUUCAUCCAUGUGCUAGUUCAGCCUGUGAGAUGCUGGUGAGCCCACCUCCAGGCACUCACGGACUCCCCACCCAUUGAGUGUGGCCUGGAUUUAGUGACUCAAUCAAACGUGACAGAGUGCUGGGGUGUCAUUUUCAAGACUGGGUUAUGUGAAGACUGCAGCCUCCAUCUGGGGUGCUCUCUCUUGGAUUGCUUGCUCAGGGAUGUGGGGAGAGCUGCUGUGCUGGGAGGCUGCCCAUGUGAGUUGACUUGGAUGUGAACCUUCUGUGGCCUGCCAAUAGCCACGUGAGUGACCUUGAAAAUGGAUCAGCCUUCACUCAAGUCUCAAGAUGACUGUGGUCUUGGCUGACAGCUUGAUUGCUGUCUCAUGGGGGACCUUAAACCAAAGGCACCCUGCUAAGCCACACACAGCUUCCUGGCCCACAGAAACUAUGAAAUAAUAACCAUUUCUUAUAUAAGCCUCCAAGUUUUGGGAGUAAUAUUUUGCACAGUGAUGGAUCACUAAUACAAGCCAGUCAUCAGUUGAAAGACACUGAAUUUAUUUCCAGUUUUAUGUGAUUAUGAAUAAUGUCACCAUAUGCAUUUGCAUACAGGUGUUUGUGUGGACACUGCUGUCAUUUCUCUUGGGAAGAUACUGAGGAGUCAGAUUGCUGGAUCCCGUGAAGAAUGUGCACCUGGGAUUGGCUCUUGCUUCCUAAGGAACCUCAAAAAAGCUGCAACCUAUUGGAGACUUUUGAUUCAGCAUCAAGGAUAUGCGUGAGACUUUGGUUCUUUUCUGUUGGGACACAGUUGAUUCUGACUGUCUUAAAGUUAGGCUUUUCUAAAGAUUUAGACUAAUAAAUUAUUUGAAUGGGACAACACACAUCAUUUGCUUUAUUAUACUUUAAAUAUGGCAGAACGGUGUAUUACCACCCCAAUCCCAAUCACCGGUACCUCCAUAGGCAGAGAUGUUAUCCUUAUUUUGCUGAAGAAGGAAUUAGGGUUACUCAGAGUCAUGCAGUUGGAAAGAGAUAGAAUGGAACUUUAACCUGUAUGUUCUGAUUAUUAUUCAGUCU